CGGGACACGUGGUAUCCUGUCUGAAUAUGGGGGGACCAUCCUCCAAGGCUAAAUACUCCUGACUGACCGAUAGUGAACCAGUACCGUGAGGGAAAGGCGAAAAGAACCCCGGCGAGGGGAGUGAAAAAGAACCUGAAACCGUGUACGUACAAGCAGUGGGAGCACGCUUAGGCGUGUGACUGCGUACCUUUUGUAUAAUGGGUCAGCGACUUAUAUUCUGUAGCAAGGUUAACCGAAUAGGGGAGCCGAAGGGAAACCGAGUCUUAACUGGGCGUUAAGUUGCAGGGUAUAGACCCGAAACCCGGUGAUCUAGCCAUGGGCAGGUUGAAGGUUGGGUAACACUAACUGGAGGACCGAACCGACUAAUGUUGAAAAAUUAGCGGAUGACUUGUGGCUGGGGGUGAAAGGCCAAUCAAACCGGGAGAUAGCUGGUUCUCCCCGAAAGCUAUUUAGGUAGCGCCUCGUGAAUUCAUCUCCGGGGGUAGAGCACUGUUUCGGCAAGGGGGUCAUCCCGACUUACCAACCCGAUGCAAACUGCGAAUACCGGAGAAUGUUAUCACGGGAGACACACGGCGGGUGCUAACGUCCGUCGUGAAGAGGGAAACAACCCAGACCGCCAGCUAAGGUCCCAAAGUCAUGGUUAAGUGGGAAACGAUGUGGGAAGGCCCAGACAGCCAGGAUGUUGGCUUAGAAGCAGCCAUCAUUUAAAGAAAGCGUAAUAGCUCACUGGUCGAGUCGGCCUGCGCGGAAGAUGUAACGGGGCUAAACCAUGCACCGAAGCUGCGGCAGCGACGCUGAUGCGUUGUUGGGUAGGGGAGCGUUCUGUAAGCCUGCGAAGGUGUGCUGUGAGGCAUGCUGGAGGUAUCAGAAGUGCGAAUGCUGACAUAAGUAACGAUAAAGCGGGUGAAAAGCCCGCUCGCCGGAAGACCAAGGGUUCCUGUCCAACGUUAAUCGGGGCAGGGUGAGUCGACCCCUAAGGCGAGGCCGAAAGGCGUAGUCGAUGGGAAACAGGUUAAUAUUCCUGUACUUGGUGUUACUGCGAAGGGGGGACGGAGAAGGCUAUGUUGGCCGGGCGACGGUUGUCCCGGUUUAAGCGUGUAGGCUGGUUUUCCAGGCAAAUCCGGAAAAUCAAGGCUGAGGCGUGAUGACGAGGCACUACGGUGCUGAAGCAACAAAUGCCCUGCUUCCAGGAAAAGCCUCUAAGCAUCAGGUAACAUCAAAUCGUACCCCAAACCGACACAGGUGGUCAGGUAGAGAAUACCAAGGCGCUUGAGAGAACUCGGGUGAAGGAACUAGGCAAAAUGGUGCCGUAACUUCGGGAGAAGGCACGCUGAUAUGUAGGUGAAGUCCCUCGCGGAUGGAGCUGAAAUCAGUCGAAGAUACCAGCUGGCUGCAACUGUUUAUUAAAAACACAGCACUGUGCAAACACGAAAGUGGACGUAUACGGUGUGACGCCUGCCCGGUGCCGGAAGGUUAAUUGAUGGGGUUAGCGCAAGCGAAGCUCUUGAUCGAAGCCCCGGUAAACGGCGGCCGUAACUAUAACGGUCCUAAGGUAGCGAAAUUCCUUGUCGGGUAAGUUCCGACCUGCACGAAUGGCGUAAUGAUGGCCAGGCUGUCUCCACCCGAGACUCAGUGAAAUUGAACUCGCUGUGAAGAUGCAGUGUACCCGCGGCAAGACGGAAAGACCCCGUGAACCUUUACUAUAGCUUGACACUGAACAUUGAGCCUUGAUGUGUAGGAUAGGUGGGAGGCUUUGAAGUGUGGACGCCAGUCUGCAUGGAGCCGACCUUGAAAUACCACCCUUUAAUGUUUGAUGUUCUAACGUUGACCCGUAAUCCGGGUUGCGGACAGUGUCUGGUGGGUAGUUUGACUGGGGCGGUCUCCUCCUAAAGAGUAACGGAGGAGCACGAAGGUUGGCUAAUCCUGGUCGGACAUCAGGAGGUUAGUGCAAUGGCAUAAGCCAGCUUGACUGCGAGCGUGACGGCGCGAGCAGGUGCGAAAGCAGGUCAUAGUGAUCCGGUGGUUCUGAAUGGAAGGGCCAUCGCUCAACGGAUAAAAGGUACUCCGGGGAUAACAGGCUGAUACCGCCCAAGAGUUCAUAUCGACGGCGGUGUUUGGCACCUCGAUGUCGGCUCAUCACAUCCUGGGGCUGAAGUAGGUCCCAAGGGUAUGGCUGUUCGCCAUUUAAAGUGGUACGCGAGCUGGGUUUAGAACGUCGUGAGACAGUUCGGUCCCUAUCUGCCGUGGGCGCUGGAGAACUGAGGGGGGCUGCUCCUAGUACGAGAGGACCGGAGUGGACGCAUCACUGGUGUUCGGGUUGUCAUGCCAAUGGCACUGCCCGGUAGCUAAAUGCGGAAGAGAUAAGUGCUGAAAGCAUCUAAGCACGAAACUUGCCCCGAGAUGAGUUCUCCCUGACUCCUUGAGAGUCCUGAAGGAACGUUGAAGACGACGACGUUGAUAGGCCGGGUGUGUAAGCGCAGCGAUGCGUUGAGCUAACCGGUACUAAUGAACCGUGAG
rnacentral:rRNA from 1 species